rnacentral:rRNA from 1 species
GGGUGCCAUCGUACCAACACUAAUGCACUGGAUCCCAUUAGAACUCCGCAGUUAAGCGUGCUUGGGCGAGAGUAGUUCUAGGAUGGGUGACCUCCUCAAAAGUCCUCAUGUUGCACCUA